AAUUAAACAGCAGACAAUUUAUUUAGCGAUCAUACCUCUCUGCCAUUAUUCAGCACAAUGAAGUUCCAUUUGAGUUAAAUGAAUUAAUUAACUACAUUUCUCUGCAGUCCCAGAUACUAUGCAAUCAUAUAAUGAAAUACAGAUGCUACUACAAAGAGCUUAUAGCUGAAAUGAGCUAUGCACAAAAAUGGGAGAUCUAAUAAAGACACAGAGUUAGGACACCCAUAGACCUUACUGAUUUAAUGUUUGAUUCUAGAGUCAUCCCAACCAAACUUUAACUGAAGAGCAACAGUUAGGAGCACAAUCACCAGAGGUCCCAUGUAGAUUUGAUGAAGGAUAAACUUUGCUGAGAGAGUUUUGGAACUCAGCCACACUGGGUAGUGCCUUUUCUACUUUACAUGCAAUGUCUGGAUGAGGGGGAGCUCCAGCUGUGCACUUGGCAAAGCUUGGUGUCCCACUUUCCUUAAAGUUCUUCUCCCGAAGCUGAUGGUGACUCUUCCUGGUGGCUUUGUGCAUGCUGAUAUGAGCACCUUGACAGAGGAAGUCUGCAUCCCACUCCACGAGGGCUGCCUGCUGUCUCUCAGAGCUGCUCCUGUGCCAGCAUCUGCCAGCAGCCAUGCAUGAGUGCCAUCAAAGAUCCUGCUGGGCACUAACCCCCUGUGCACUCCAGCACCAUGUCAACUUUCCAAGUGAUAUGACUGUUUUUUCCAGUCAGCACUGAGCUGCAUGCUCUCAAUGAUAAAUUUAGUUGAUGUUCCAUAUCUUUAUGUUUCAUUUUUUUUGUUUUGUUUUAUUUUUUGUUUGAUGCUAUGGAAUCUUUUCUGAGUCAUAAAUUCAUUAUUCAAUAAUCUUCUUCUGUCCCCCAUGGAACAUUUUAAUCUAAAUCUAAAUCUCCAUUAUUCUGCAUUAAGUAACAAGAGAGUUGUGUAUCUGUCAUAAAACCUUUGCCAGCCCGCAAAGACACGUCUUGAGUAACAGCCAGAGUUCUAAUGUUUUGGGUGGCCUUUUUGAUUAAACCAAGAAGUAACAGCUUGCAGACAAAAGCACUCAACAUUUUCUGUAAAGGAGGCAAUAUUCAGAUACUUUGGUGAAAGAUGUGUUAUUCAUCAAAAUUAAGGGUUUUUAGGAAGACAGUAACUAUACCUAGAGUUUAACAGAAGUGGUGAUUCCUUCAGCUAGAAAAUGCAUAUUAUACUUUAAUAUGCUUUUCCAAACAUUUGGAAUAAUUGUUAAAAAUGAAGGGAUUCAAAUCCUAAGAGCAAGAUCUAGCAUUUCCUUUUAGAUCAGUUAAAAUAUUUUAUCUGCAGCAAGCACAACUUUGAAAAAACCUCUUUGAAAAAAAAAAUCAUGCAUACUGAAAAAUGUCUUUUAGGCAGAAUGUGAUUCAGCCAUCAGGUUGAAGAACAUACACUUCUGGCCUUAGCUGGGGCAUCAGUAACGAAUCUAGCCUUAAGAAGCAUCUCUGGAUAUCUUGGCUAAGUCCUGACAUCAUUCAAGUGCUGUUGGUAUUUCAGUAUGAGAAGACGCAUCCAAUACAGACUACUCUGUAUCUGACAGUGCAGAAAUCCUUCACAAAGACAUGCAGUAGUUGGUAAAACUGUAGAAAGCUGAUGCUUAUUCCAGCUCAAGCCUCAGAAAAAGACUGAAGCAGUUGUCUUUGGCAGUCAUGAGCAUACCUGCCUUGCCUUUCUUUCUCCUUUCAUGUGUUCUUCACUCCUUUUUAACAGAUGGGAUAUUACUGAUUUGAUGUCUCAUGGAGAUCUCAGAGGAGCUUGGUUGCAGCUGGAAAUGGAACUGCUUUGAGCAGGCUGUAAAGAAAGGGAAAGAUGUUGUUACUGGUUCUGGAAUGAGUCCUUCACACCAGCAGACUGGGAUGGAUCCAGCUGGUGAAAGAAACAUCAUGGAAACAAAAUCCACAGAGGAUCCACAUGGAAAAGAAUUCCUGAAGCCAAACACCAACAGAUCUCGGUAGUAUGUUGCAAACCAGACUUGAUAAAUAUGGCACUGCUGUAGGGCACAGACAAGGUUCAAAUCCUUCACCUUCUUUAAUUUACACAUGGGGGUGAACCUAAAUCU
rnacentral:lncRNA from 7 species